GCCAACUGUGAACAGAAAAUAUUUUUAAAAAUUGUGUCUGUACUGAGCAUAAACAGACUUUUUUCUUGUUAUUAUACACUAAACAAUAGAUUACAGCAACCAUUUACAUAGAAAUUAUGUUGUAUUAGGUAUUAUAAGUAAUUCAGAGGUGAUUUAAAGUAUAUGAUGGGAUGUGCAUAGAAUAUGUGCAAAUACUAUGCCAUUUAAAAAAAGAUUUAUUUAUUUGAAAGAUAGCGAGAUGGUGGGUGUCGCUCCCUGUCUUCGUGGAGGAACGACACUAGACCCUGCGCUCUUCUUUUGUCUGCUCGGCCCUUCCCGGGUUUGCUGCUGGUUCUUCCCAGGUUGGCUGCCGAUCCUUCCACCUCCGUGGAAGGGCGGCUCCCCCUGCCACUUUCCCCACUUCCGAGGGGGAGCGGCACACCGCCGGCCGGCUCUCUCAGGGGCUGCUCAGAUGUUAUCCAGAUGUUCCCUGUAGAUGUUCCUGGUGCAUGUUGUCUCUCUCCUCCUUUAUAGUCCUCUUCCACCAAUCCCAACUCUGCUACCCACACGCCGAGUACGCUGCUCUCCUCCAAUCAGGAGCAGAUCCUAUAGUUUAUUGGUUGAACUGGAGGCAGCUGUGUAGAAGCUGUUUACUCCUCUCCCAGCGCCAUAUUGUGGGAGAGCAGAUGCAUAGAAUAAGUCUUAAUUCCAGUAACUUAGUCUAGUCCGAGUUGCUCCCCACAGUGGGGGUGGAGGGUGGAGAGAGAGAGGAGAGAGAGAUUGAUCUUUCAUCUUCAGUUUUACUUCCCAAAUGUCUGUAACAGCCAGGGCUGGGUCAGGCUGUGUGUGUGUGAUGUGUAUUUCAUCUAUGACACAACAUACAGGGCUGGACCAAUGUUUGCCAUCCUAGCUUCUCCUUUCUUCCCCUUUCACAUUCUGACCUCCAGUGAUGAGCUUUGCAGAAUAGCUGUAGUCUCACCCUUAGGCCUCUGCAUUUUCUGCCCACACCUCCUUCUUUACCUCUCUCAUUCCAUUCUAUGCAUCUGUCCUCUUAAAAGCCUCUCCUGGGGGCUGGCGUUGUGGUGCAGUGAGUUAAGCUGCCACUUGCGAUGUAGACUUCCCAUAUUGGAGCAACAAUUCAAGUCCUGGCUGCUCCACUUCCAAUCCAGCUCACUGCUAAUGUGCCUGGGAAAGCAGCAGACAAUGUCCCAAGUAUCUGGGCCCCUGGGAUCCAUGUGGGAGACCUGGGUGGGUUUCCUGGCUCCUGGCUUCAGCCUGGCCCAUUCCCUGGCUGUGUGA
rnacentral:lncRNA from 1 species